rnacentral:rRNA from 1 species
AACGAACGCUGGCGGCAGGCUUAACACAUGCAAGUUGAACGCUGUAGCAAUACAGAGUGGCAGACGGGUGAGUAACACGUGGGAAUCUUCCUAUCGGUACGGAAUAGCUCAGGGAAACUUGGGGUAAUACCGCAUACGCCCUUAGGGGGAAAGAUUUAUCGCCGAUAGAUGAGCCCGCGUCUGAUUAGCUAGUUGGUGAGGUAAUGGCUCACCAAGGCGACGAUCAGUAGCUGGUCUGAGAGGAUGACCAGCCAUACUGGGACUGAGACACGGCCCAGACUCCUACGGGAGGCAGCAGUGGGGAAUAUUGGACAAUGGGCGCAAGCCUGAUCCAGCCAUGCCGCGUGAGUGACGAAGGUCUUCGGAUUGUAAAGCUCUUUUGCCAGGGACGAUAAUGACGGUACCUGGAGAAUAAGCCCCGGCUAACUUCGUGCCAGCCGCCGCAGUAAUAC